rnacentral:rRNA from 1 species
GGUUUGAUUAUGGCCUUUAGAUUGAACGCUGGCGGGAUGUUUUACACAUGCAAGUCGAACGGCAGCAACGGACUUCGGUCUGGUGGCGAGUGGCGAACGGGUGAGUAAUGUAUCGGAACGUGCCUAUAGCGGGGAUAACUACGCGAAAGCGGUAUAGCUAAUACCGCGCGCCCUUCGGGGGAAAGCGGGGGGACCUUCGGGCUCCUCGCACUAUUAGAGCGGCCGAGGAUAUCGAUUAGCGAACAGUGGGGUAACGGCUCACCAAGGGACGAUCCCGUAGCUGGUUUGAGAGGACGACCAGCCACACUGGGACUGAGACACGGCCCAGACUCCUACGGGAGGCAGGUGGGGAAUUUUUGACAAUGGGGAAACUCGAUCCAGCCAUCCCGCGUGCGAUGAAGGCCUUCGGGUUAAAGCACCCUUGGCAGGUAGAAACGGUAUCGGGGAUAAUACCCCGUGCAACUGACGGUACCUGCAGAAUAACACCGCUAACCAAUACGUGCCAGCAGCCGCGGUAAUACACGGGUGCAAGCGUUAAUCGGAAUUACUGGGCGUAAAGCGGCAGGCGGUUCGGAAAGAAAGAGUGGAACCCAGAGCUUAACUUUGGAACUGCAUUUUUAACUACCGAGCUAGAGUGUGUCAGAGGGAGGUGGAAUUCCGCGUGUAGCAGUGAAAUGCGUAGAUAUGCGGAGGAACACCGAUGGCGAAGGCAGCCUCCUGGGAUAACACUGACGCUCAUGCACGAAAGCGUGGGGAGCAAACAGGAUUAGAUAUCCGGUAGUCCACGCCCCUAAACGAUGUCAACUAGCCGUUGGGGCCUUCGGGCCUUGGUAGCGCAGCUAACGCGUGAAGUUGACCGCCUGGGGAGUACGGUCGCAAGAUUAAAACUCAAAGGAAUUGACGGGGACCCGCACAAGCGGUGGUGGACAUGUGGAUUAAUUCGAUGCAACGCGAAAAACCUUACCUACCCUUGACAUGUCUGGAAUCCUCGAAGAGAUUUGGGAGGUGCUCGCAAGAGAACUGGAACACAGGUGCUGCAUGGCUGUCGUCAGCUCGCAAUGAGAUGCUGGGUUAAGUCCUGCAACGAGCGCAACCCUUGUCAUUAGUUGCCACAAAAGGGCACUCUAAUGAGAUCGCCGGUGACAACCGAGGAAGGUGGGGGAUGACGUCAAGUCCUGCGGUCUUUAUGGGUAGGGUUUACACGCCAUACACGGUCGGGACAGAGGGUCGCCAACCCGCGAGGGGGAGCUAAUCCAGAAACCCGAUCGUAGUCCGGAUCGCAGUCUGCAACUCGACUGCGGAAGUCGGAAUCGCUAGUAAUCGCGGAUCAGCAUGUCGCAGUGAAUACGUUCCCGGGUCUUGCACACACCGCCCGUCACACCAUGGGGAGUGGGUUUUACCGAAGUGUUAUUAGCCUAACCGUAAGGAGGGCGAUUACCACGGUAGGAUCACACACUGGGGUAGUCGUAACAAGGUAG